CUGCAACACAAUUACAAUUAAGAAUCCAUCAAACACCUGGAAUAUUACAUCAUAAUAGGGGAAUCAUAAAAAAAAAUAAUAAUGAGGAAAGGUGAGGGAUAGCAUAUAUCUUUUGGGCCUACAGAAACAAAAUGAGUCCUACGACCAUCGCUUCACAACACUAGAGGACCUCAGGCAUAAGCAGAAUGUGAAAAUAUGCUACAUCUGUGAGGACAUCUCAGCAGAAGAAUUAC